rnacentral:rRNA from 1 species
UUAGAUACCCCAUUAGUCCUAGCCCGUUAACGAAUGGAUACUCUAUGUUGGACGUAUCGACCCGUUCAGUAUCUUAGCUAACGCGUUAAGUAUCCCCGCCUGGGGAGUACGCUCGCAAGAGUGAAACUCAAAGGAAGUGACGGGGGCCCGCACUAGCGGUGGAGGAUGUGGUUUAAUUCGAUGCAACGCGAAGUACCUUACCAGGGUUUGCUAGAAGUGUUGGUUUUCUGAAAAGGAUUCCUUAUUCCGCUUCUACAGGUGGUGCAUGGCUGUCGUCAGCUCGUGUCGUGAGAUGUUGGGUUAAGUCCCGCAACGAGCGCAACCCUUAUUUUUAGUUCUAUUGUCUAAAAAGACUGCCGGUUACAUACCGGAGGUAGGUGAGGACGACGUCAAGUCAUCAUGCCCCUUACACCCUGGGCUACACACGUCCUACAAUGGGUAAGACAAUAAGUUGCAUAUUCGCGAGGAUAAGCUAAUCUUUGAUACUUACUCCAAGUACAGAUGCUAGGCUGCUACUCGCCUGCAUGAAGAUGGAAUCGCUAGUAAUCGCUGNUCAGCUACACCGCGCCGAUCCGUUCCCGGGCCUCGUACACACCGCUCGUCACACCAUG